rnacentral:sRNA from 1 species
CUCGCAAUCCACAGACAGCUGAUUUAAGUAGAGUCCAGUUCUUGGUGGCCGGGUUGGCAGAGCACGGGGACGUAAGCAGAUACAGCCACUUGUUGUUCGAUUGUUUGGAUCUAUGUAGAGAGGACAUCGCAAUUUUUCUCCUAAACUCUGGAUUCAAACCGGAUAUUACCCGUCGGGAUCCCAAGUGUUGCCCCCAAAUGGAUGAUGCGUGUUCCAGGUUACGGUGUAGCCACAAAAACAUCAGUUUGAGACAGAGGGCGAUAGAGAAUGACUGCAGUAGAGUUUUAAAACUGAUCCUCCACUUGACUAAACAAUAAGACCUUGACCAUUUCAUUGCUUCAUGUCAAAUUUCAUUAAAAAAAAAA